UAACGAAGGGGGCUAGCGUUGCUCGGAAUCACUGGGCGUAAAGCGCACGUAGGCGGCUUUCUAAGUCAGGGGUGAAAUCCUGGAGCUCAACUCCAGAACUGCCUUUGAUGACUGGAGAGCUUGAGUCCGGAAGAGGUGAGUGGAAUCCGGAGUGUAGAGGUGAAAUUCGUAGAUAUUCGGAAAGAACACCAGGUGGCGAAGGCGGCUCACUGGUCCGGUACUGACGCUGAGG
rnacentral:rRNA from 1 species